UGGCCACGUUGGACAAGAAUAGUAGGAUGC
rnacentral:piRNA from 1 species